rnacentral:tRNA from 1 species
UGUUGCUCAGUGGUAGAGCACUUGCCUGCCUAGCAUGUACAAAGUCCUGGGUGCAAUCCCCAGCA